rnacentral:rRNA from 1 species
CGAAAGCCUCAGGCUUUUGGAGGAAGGUUCGUCCGCUCCAAGUAAGCCGGGAGCUAAGGUGAGGCCGAAAGGCGUAGCUGAUGCACAUACGGUAGAUAUUCCGUAGCCGCCAAAAGAUUUAAGUAAGAGGACACCUUGAAAGGACUUGACCCGGGCGAUGGUUGCCCCGGGCGAAAG